rnacentral:lncRNA from 1 species
AUGCAAGCUGCUCUGCCAUUUGGGCCAUCUGAUCCAACAAAUUCCAUGAUAUUUGAGGUAUCACUGCCAGUGUUCAGGCACCAUCCCAAAAUGGACAGCCGCAGCACCACAGCCUCAUUCUGGAAUCUCUCUGAAGGACAAGGUGAAAGAAAAUCUUUUCAGUGGACAGGAGGACUUUGGGGAGUGCCCCUGGCUGUGUACCUUGCUUGGAAGGAAGAAUGGCCAGAUAUGUGAUUAUAUACCAAUUCAUGGGCUGUAACUGAUGGUUUGGCUAGAUGAUCAGAAACUUGGAACAAACAUAAUUAGAAAAUUGUCAACAAAGAAAUUUGGGAAGAGAUCUCCCUCUAUAUCCUACAGUGUUUGUCUUUCUGGGGAACCUUGACCAAUAAACACAAAUAGAAAGAAAAAUUGAAAGAAAUGUACAGAGCCCAAAUGAAUUAGAGGAUAGUAACAAGAAGCCUAAAGUACAUGAUGUCCAAGAAGGAGAGGAGAAAAUGGGGAAAAUAUUAACACUGACUAAAAUUUUCAAAAAAUUUAAAAAACAUUUACUCACACAUUUAAGAAGAAAGAAAACUCAAUUAGAUAAAUAUAAUAAAAACCAUGUGAGGGUCACAACACAGUCAAAUUACUACUAAUAAGACAUAAAGAGACUUGUAUGUGUUCACUAUUUACCAUUUUCUUGGGAGUAUCACAGGAAGAGCACAGACCGGAUGUGUACCAGGUCACAACUUACCCUUGUGUGUUUAUAUGUGUGGGGAAUACCUGUGUAUAUUAGUGAUAGCUGUUUACUGUAGUGAAAGGGAAAACAAGAUUUCUUGCACCUGGGCCCUCUAUUGAUCACUAAAGAAGUUCCUGUCACCUGCUUUCUCUGCUGCGUGCAUCUGUCUACUUGACUAACGUUUAACAUGUCUAUUUUUAGAUAAUGUAAAUUCUUAACCAACUCAUCUCAUUUAGAUUGUAUGCAUCAUUAUAUGUGACAUUAUUGUAACUACUGUAUGAUCAGCGAGAUUCCUAUGAGAAAUACUGCUUUAAAAGAAAGUAAAUAACAUGCCGAUGGGUGAUCAACAUCCCACAUUAGGGAGUGGGGUUGUCACUUUAUUUAUAGGUUUUUUAAAACAAGUAUAUAUGUGUGUGUGUGUGUGUGUGUGUGUGUGUGUGUGUGUGUGUGUUUUAUUUUUUCUAUUUAUGUUACUUUUUUUUUUUUAGACAGAGUUUCACUCUUGUUGCCCAGGCUGGAAUGCAGUGGCACCAUCUUGGCUCACUGCAACCUCUCCCUCCCAGAUUCAAGUGCUUCUCCUGCCUCAGCCUCCUGAGUAGCUGGGACAACAGGUGCCCAUCACAGCGCUCAGCUAAUUUUUUAUAUUUUUAGUAGAGACAGGGAUUCACUGUGUUGACCAGGCUGGUCUCCAACUCCUGACCUCAGGUGAUCCACCUGCCUCAGCCUUCCAAAGUGCUGGGAUUACAGGUGUGAGCCAUCUCGCCCAGCCAAAACAAGUCUUUUUUUAGUAAACUAAGUUGAAUAAAGGCACAAUUUAAAUCUAUCAAAAAUAAAUUUAAAAACUAUCAGAAAAAGAAAGCAUUUUAAAGAAGCCAGUUUUAAAAAAAAAGUAAGAUAACGCAUGCAGUGAAAAAACAACAAGCAUUUCUCACCAAAAGUAAUGAAAUGCAGAAAGCAAUGAAGUGAUAUAUUAAAAGUACAUUUAAAAAUGAAAACAGAACACGCCUACCUUGAAUAUUAUAAUAGUAAAAGUAUUGUUCAAAAUGAAGAUGACAUAGAAAAACUUCAUAUUAGAAAAAGACAUACACAAGAAUUUGUUACUGACCAGCAACAUAAGAGCCACUGCAGGAAGUUAAUCAGGUUGAAGGAAGUAAGACUGGAUGCAAACAAUUCUGAUCUAUAAGGUUCUUGCAUUUUAUGUGAAGUGUUAGGUAUUAAUUCAAGACAGAUUAAAAGUUAAGGAAGCAUAUAAAAGUUAAGGAAGUAAUCCCUAAAAUAACCAUGAUAAAACUAACUGAAAAAGUUAAUAAAAUUCCAUUUAGAAGGCAAAAUGGAAUGAUAAAAAUACUCUAUUAUUGUAAAAUAAAAUAAGACAAAGUACAGAGGUGAAAAAUAGAAAACAAAUAACAAGAGGGUCUAAUUAUACCCAAACAUAUUGACAAUUAUAUGAUUAUAAGUAGACUUAUGACUCAAUUAAGAGUCAGAGAUUGCCAAAUUGGAUAAAUAAGGCAAACUCACUUAAAGGCAGUUUAUAAGAGAUGCAUUUUAUCUUUGAAAACACGGGAAAGUUGAAAGUAAAAGCAUGAGGAAAUAUAUGCUAUGUAAAUACUGAGCACAAUAAGGUCGAUAUUGCUAAGCUAAUACAGACAAAGUAGGUUUCAAGACGUGGGUUAAUAUCAGAUACUAGGAUCAUCUUAACGACAUGACUCCAUUUAACAAGAGGUUCUAAAAUAUUAAAUUCUGUAUUACUGAGUAACAGAGCUUCAACAAAACAUGAAGCAAUCACUGGCAGAACUAAAAGGAAAAGCUAAAUAAAUCCACAAUUAUUGUUUGAGGAACACAGUGUACAAUGUUAUUUACAUAACUUUCUAGAACAUCAAAUACUUACUUAAUUUGAGGGAAAUUUCAAUAGUGGUUGCUCUUGAAAGGCAUUUGACUCUAAAAGAACAAAUAAUAUUUUCUCAAGGUGAUGCAAAUGUUGUUUGGUUUUGAUUGGGAUGGUGGUUUUGCAGGUCUACAAAUCUGUCAAACUCCUUAGGCUAUACAUAUAUGUGUGCGUUUUAUGUCAUGACCAUUCUAUCUCAACAAAACCUCAAAGCACUUCCCAGGGUUCUAUAUAAUACCAUUUUGUCACAUCCAAUAUUGAAUUAUGUAUAUAUUUAUAUGUAUUAUUUCUUCUGUUGAAAUGUUAGAAUCCUGCCUAAGUUACUUACUUACUUUUACAGUUCUGCAGUGC